AUGAACGCUAGCGACAGGCUUAACACAUGCAAGUCGAGGGGCAGCACAGGUAGCAAUACCGGGUGGCGACCGGCGCACGGGUGAGUAACGCGUAUGCAACUUACCUAUCAGAGGGGGAUAACCCGGCGAAAGUCGGACUAAUACCGCAUGAAGCAGGGGUCCCGCAUGGGGAUAUUUGCUAAAGAUUCAUCGCUGAUAGAUAGGCAUGCGUUCCAUUAGGCAGUUGGCGGGGUAACGGCCCACCAAACCGACGAUGGAUAGGGGUUCUGAGAGGAAGGUCCCCCACAUUGGUACUGAGACACGGACCAAACUCCUACGGGAGGCAGCAGUGAGGAAUAUUGGUCAAUGGGCGCGAGCCUGAACCAGCCAAGUCGCGUGAGGGAUGAAGGUUCUAUGGAUCGUAAACCUCUUUUAUAAGGGAAUAAAGUGCGGGACGUGUCCCGUUUUGUAUGUACCUUAUGAAUAAGGAUCGGCUAACUCCGUGCCAGCAGCCGCGGUAAUACGGAGGAUCCGAGCGUUAUCCGGAUUUAUUGGGUUUAAAGGGUGCGUAGGCGGCCUUUUAAGUCAGCGGUGAAAGUCUGUGGCUCAACCAUAGAAUUGCCGUUGAAACUGGGGGGCUUGAGUAUGUUUGAGGCAGGCGGAAUGCGUGGUGUAGCGGUGAAAUGCUUAGAUAUCACGCAGAACCCCGAUUGCGAAGGCAGCCUGCCAAGCCAUGACUGACGCUGGUGCACGAAAGCGUGGGGAUCAAACAGGAUUAGAUACCCUGGUAGUCCACGCAGUAAACGAUGAUCACUAGCUGUUUGCGAUACACUGUAAGCGGCACAGCGAAAGCGUUAAGUGAUCCACCUGGGGAGUACGCCGGCAACGGUGAAACUCAAAGGAAUUGACGGGGGCCCGCACAAGCGGAGGAACAUGUGGUUUAAUUCGAUGAUACGCGAGGAACCUUACCCGGGUUUGAACGCAUUCGGACCGAGGUGGAAACACCUUUUCUAGCAAUAGCCGUUUGCGAGGUGCUGCAUGGUUGUCGUCAGCUCGUGCCGUGAGGUGUCGGCUUAAGUGCCAUAACGAGCGCAACCCUUGCCACUAGUUACUAACAGGUAAAGCUGAGGACUCUGGUGGGACUGCCAGCGUAAGCUGCGAGGAAGGCGGGGAUGACGUCAAAUCAGCACGGCCCUUACAUCCGGGGCGACACACGUGUUACAAUGGCGUGGACAAAGGGAUGCCACCUGGCGACAGGGAGCGAAUCCCCCAAACCACGUCUCAGUUCGGAUCGGAGUCUGCAACCCGACUCCGUGAAGCUGGAUUCGCUAGUAAUCGCGCAUCAGCCAUGGCGCGGUGAAUACGUUCCCGGGCCUUGUACACACCGCCCGUCAAGCCAUGGGAGCCGGGGGUACCUGAAGUCCGUAACCGCGAGGAUCGGCCUAGGGUAAAACUGGUGACUGGGGCU
rnacentral:rRNA from 1 species